UGCCUAAUACAUGCAAGUCGAACGAGGUAGCAAUACCAAGUGGCGCACGGGUGAGUAACACGUAGAUAAUCUGCCUCGGAGUGGGGAAUAACUCAGCGAAAGCUGAGCUAACACCGCAUGAGACCACAAUAGCUGCGGCUAAAGGGGUUAAAAAUUUAUUGCUCCGAGAUGAGUCUGCGUCAGAUUAGCUAGUUGGUGGGGUAAUGGCCUACCAAGGCUACGAUCUGUAGCUGGUCUGAGAGGAUGAUCAGCCACACUGGAACUGAGACACGGUCCAGACUCCUACGGGAGGCAGCAGUAGGGAAUAUUGCGCACUGGGGGAAACCCUGACGCAGCAACGCCGCGUGAGUGAUGUUUCUUUCGGGUCGUAAAGCUC
rnacentral:rRNA from 1 species